rnacentral:tRNA from 1 species
CGUAGCUCAGCUGGAUAGAGCAACUGCCUUCUAAGCAGUAGGUCGCAGGUUCGAAUCCUGCCGG